CACCGACCCGUCUCGGGGUGUUUUUUCCUGCUAGCCUGAAAGGUUUGGGCCCAGAAUCGCCCCCCGAGAUGGAUGGGGUGCCAGACUGUGCCCUUGUUUGUCCUGAAGGCCAAGGGGCAGCGGGUGGUGGAGAGCCAGUGAAGUCUUCUGUUCUUCGGCUGUUUGCCCCUCUGGGGAGAGCAGCAAGUGAGAACUUGUGUCUCAACCCUUGA
rnacentral:lncRNA from 1 species